GACGAACGCUGGCGGCGUGCUUAACACAUGCAAGUCGAACGAUGAUCCAUCUUCGGGUGGUGAUUAGUGGCGAACGGGUGAGUAACACGUGAGUAACCUGCCCUCCACUCUGGGAUAACUGUGGGAAACUUCAGCUAAUACCGGAUAUUGAAUGCUGUCCUCAUGGGUGGUGUUUGAAAGAUUUUUUGGUGGGGGAUGGACUCGCGGCCUAUCAGCUUGUUGGUGGGGUAAUGGCCUACCAAGGCGGUGACGGGUAGCCGGCCUGAGAGGGCGACCGGCCACACUGGGACUGAGAUACGGCCCAGACUCCUACGGGAGGCAGCAGUGGGGAAUAUUGCACAAUGGGCGAAAGCCUGAUGCAGCAACGCCGCGUGCGGGAUGACGGCCUUCGGGUUGUAAACCGCUUUCACCAGGGGCGAAUGUAGACGGUACCUGGAGAAGAAGCACCGGCUAACUACGUG
rnacentral:rRNA from 1 species